rnacentral:rRNA from 1 species
GAUGAACGCUGGCGGCGUGCCUAAUACAUGCAAGUCGAGCGAACAGACGAGGAGCUUGCUCCUCUGACGUUAGCGGCGGACGGGUGAGUAACACGUGGAUAACCUACCUAUAAGACUGGGAUAACUUCGGGAAACCGGAGCUAAUACCGGAUAAUAUAUUGAACCGCAUGGUUCAAUAGUGAAAGACGGUUUUGCUGUCACUUAUAGAUGGAUCCGCGCCGCAUUAGCUAGUUGGUAAGGUAACGGCUUACCAAGGCAACGAUGCGUAGCCGACCUGAGAGGGUGAUCGGCCACACUGGAACUGAGACACGGUCCAGGCUCCUACGGGAGGCAGCAGUAGGGAAUCGUCCGCAAUGGUCGAAAGCCUGACGGAGCGACGCCGCGUGAGUGAUGAAGGUCUCCGGAGCGUAAAACUCUGUUAUGAGGGAAGAACAAAUGUGUAAGUAACUAUGCACGUCUUGACGGUACCUGAUCAGAAAGCCACGGCUAACUACGUG